rnacentral:rRNA from 1 species
CUUUUAUGGAGAGUUUGAUCCUGGCUCAGGACGAACGCUGGCGGCGUGCCUAAUACAUGCAAGUCGAGCGCGGGAAGCAAACUGAAUCCUUCGGGAGGACGUUUGUGGAACGAGCGGCGGACGGGUGAGUAACACGUGGGCAACCUGCCUGUAAGACUGGGAUAACUCCGGGAAACCGGGGCUAAUACCGG